rnacentral:rRNA from 1 species
AAGAGACAGCAGCCGCCGCGGGAAUACGAAGGGUGCAAGCGUUACUCGGAAUUACUGGGCGUAAAGCGUGCGUAGGUGGUGGUUUAAGUCCGUUGUGAAAGCCCUGGGCUCAACCUGGGAAUUGCAGUGGAUACUGGGUCACUAGAGUGUGGUAGAGGAUAGUGGAAUUUCCGGUGUAGCAGUGAAAUGCGUAGAGAUCGGAAGGAACAUCUGUGGCGAAGGCGACUAUCUGGGCCAACACUGACACUGAGGCACGAAAGCGUGGGGAGCAAACAGGAUUAGAUACCCCCGUAGUCCCUGUCUCUUAUAC